GCAAACUUGGUCAUUUAGAGGAAGUAAAAGUCGUAACAAGGUUUCCGUAGGUGAACCUGCGGAAGGAUCAUUAUCGUAUUACAACAAGGCGCAAGGGCUGUCGCUGACGAAAAGUCGUGCACGCUCGAGUGUCCUUUAAAAAUCCAUCUUACCCUUGUGCAUCAUCGCGUGGGCUUGCUUCCUGUUUGGAGGCGGCUCACGUUUUUAAUACAAACCCCUUUUAAUGUGUAGAAUGAUUUUGAUUUGCGAUGUAACGCAAAGUAAUACAACUUUCAACAACGGAUCUCUUGGCUCUCGCAUCGAUGAAGAACGCAGC
rnacentral:misc_RNA from 1 species